UGAGUAACGCGUGAGGAACCUGCCUCAAAGAGGGGGACAACAGUUGGAAACGACUGCUAAUACCGCAUAAGCCCACGGCUCGGCAUCGAGCAGAGGGAAAAGGAGUGAUCCGCUUUGAGAUGGCCUCGCGUCCGAUUAGCUAGUUGGUGAGGUAACGGCCCACCAAGGCAACGAUCGGUAGCCGGACUGAGAGGUUGAACGGCCACAUUGGGACUGAGACACGGCCCAA
rnacentral:rRNA from 1 species